GAUGAGCGCUGGCGGUAUGCCUAACACAUGCAAGUCGUACGCCUCACUUCGGUGAGGAGUGGCGGACGGGUGAGUAACACGUUAGUACCUGCCCCAAAGUGGGGAAUAACUGCCCGAAAGGGUAGCUAAUACCCCAUAGUCUCCGGUUUAUCCGGAGUAAAGAUUUAUCGCUUUGGGAGGGGCUUGCGUUUGAUUAGCUAGUUGGUGAGGGUAAUGGCCCACCAAGGCGACGAUCAAUAGCUGGAUCGAGAGGUUGACCAGCCACACUGGGACUGAGAUACGGCCCAGACUCCUACGGGAGGCAGCAGUGAGGAAUCUUCCACAAUGGGCGAAAGCCUGAUGGAGCAAUACCGCGUGCAGGAUGAAGCUUUUUCGGAGUGUAAACUGCUUUUCUGAAGGAAGAUUAUGACGGUACUUCAGGAAUAAGGAUCGGCUAACUACGUG
rnacentral:rRNA from 1 species